CAUGAGGCUCCGGGUGACGGAAUUCUGAUGAACCCGCCAGGUCCGGAAGGAAGCAACGGUAGCCGGAUGAACGGGUGCCUGGAGCCUCAUGGGC
rnacentral:SRP_RNA from 1 species